rnacentral:tRNA from 1 species
GUACUGUAGCUUACGAUUAAAGCAUAGCACUGAAAAUGCUAAGACGGCACUCGCCUGGUAACA